UGAUAAAAGAAAAAAAAAAACACUUUGAAAAUAAAAACAAUCAACUAACUAGCAAGAAAAAAUUAACAUCAUCUUUAAAUAUACUGCAUUCUUUGUUUAUGGUUUUCUAAGUUUCACUUUCACUAAACAUAGUUUUGAAUGUGCUGCAAGUGUUUUCGUUUUCGCUUUCCAAGUUUUCGUUUGCGCUUCGCAAAUUUACGUUCUCUAUUUUGACACAAACCUCUCGUGAGGGGCGGGCUUAACAGCGGUUCGCUCUUAUUGGCUUGUGAGAUUUUGAUUGACAGCUCAUUGAACCAGAACCCCGGAACAGAAGGUGGCGAUAGUGCACAAAUAAGCUGGAUGCCAACCGCUGUUAAAAAUAACAAGAAGACGAUCGGACUCUGGAGCUGCAAGAAGUCUAAACAAACGGUAAUAAGAGUAUAUUAAAGAACAUUAAUGACAAAACACGGAUAUUUUACACAUCAGCAGAAGAAUAACAAUAGUUCAAGAUGAGUAAUCGGGAGGCUCACGGUCCGGAGCAUCAACACCAUCCUCCUCGGCCGGACAAUUGAGGCAGCAUGAGAAUUGAGCCUCUAUGGUGUGAUGUUUGGUCAGCCGUCUCUUGUACUAUGAAGAACUGCAAUGGAAGAAGUGACAGUGCUUGAUUCGGCAGGUGAACUGCACCUAUUUUAUGGUGGAACAACUUUUUAAGAGGACAUUGUUGACAUUGUCACAGAGGAUGAUGGUGUGGUCAUGGUGCCAGAGAUCUAUUGUCCUUUGUCUGACCAAAAGCCUUUGAUAUCACAAUUGAAUGUCCAGGAGUUAUACCAACACACAGUCGAUGUCAUCCAAAGACUGUGCUCCAUUUAAAUUGUAAAAGUCAUUUUUAUGUUUGAAAGAUGAAGUUGGUUCACAGAUGUACUUUUCCUUUAAAACAAUUUCCCAUUUGUAAUCACAAUGGAGACACAUCUCUGACUGCUGGGCUUCCCCUCUUAUUGUGUUCAGAUUCAUACUGUAUGCAUCUGCAGGGUUAUUCAUGCCAACACUUUAUACCGUUGUGCUGGUAAUUUAUCUUUAUAUAUCAUGCCUUCUCACUGCGUCUGUCAGCCUGUGCUUUACAUAUCUGAGAGUCAACGCAGCUAAACAUGAAGGACAAAUGCAAUGCAAGACGUUAUGCAUGCUAUAUAUCGGCAUAUGGAUGAUUAGAUUAGAAACUGCUUUCCGUUGGUGUGUUUAAACAUCACAUGACAUAGAAAAUUUACUGUCUUCCAUUUUCUGUUGUGUAGUAAUUCAUAGGAAAAUCACUUUAAACCAUUCAACCAUUUAUUUUGAGAAUAAACUUUUUUGUAACAAAAAUAUUUAAGACUUUUUAAACCAUUUAGUAGCAUGUACAAUCACAAGUGUUUUUUG